rnacentral:lncRNA from 1 species
UUUUUCUCAGAGUUUUUAAAGAGUACUUCGCUGAAAUGAUGCCAUCAGGAAAGAGAUAUUUUUACCUCUAUCACCUAUCAAUGCGAGACCAUAGCAGGCUAUAGUGCAGUAAUAUCAUCAUGGCUCACUGCAAUCUCGACUUCUCCAGCUCAAACAAUCCUCCCACCUCAGCCUCCCAAGCAGUUGGGACUACAGGCACGUGUCAUUACACCCAGUUACAGAAAGCUUUUCAUGGUUCACUGACUGAGGACAAUCAACCCCUUCAUAAUCCAUAACCCAAAGAUUGAACUGUCUGAGAACACCAGAGAAAGACUGCUCCUGCCAUCCACAUUGCAGCAAACCUUCAGGACCUUGAACCUUGGGUUCAUAGUCUUACAACUCAGAAGCAUCCCUCCACACUCUCAAAACUGGACAUCCUUGGGAACCCUUAAGGUAAAGCUAACCAGGGAAGAUUUUCUGCCCAGAAGAUGGCAUCCUUUUCCCCAAGAUCACAGAAGCUUUUUCCCAAGAUCACAGAUCAAGACUUCUCUAGUACCAUGAGACUCUUAUCUUUGAAUUUUUCCCCUUGCUAUGCCUCUAUAAACAAUAGAAGUAAAAAUGGAAUCUGUUGUGUGCACUCAUGGGGUAUACUUUUAUUUGUGAAGGAUGCUGCAGCCAUGCAGACUUAUACAUGGAUAACAGAUAUGGUUUGGCUCUGUGUCCCCACCCAAAACUCAUGUUGAAUUGUAAUCCCCAGUGUUUGUGAGGACUGGUGGGAGGUGAUUGGAUCAUGGUUGUGGUUUCUAAUGGUUUAACGUGAUCCCUUUAGUACUGUCUUGUGAUAGAGUUCUCAUGAGGUCUGGUUGUUUAAAAGUGUGUGGAACCUUCCUGUUCACUCUUUCUCCUGCUCUGACAAGUGAAGAUGUGACUGCUUUUCCUUCAACUUCUGCCAUGAUUGUAAAUUUCCUGAGGCCUCUUCAGCCAUGCUUCCUGUACAACCUGCAGAACUGUGAGUCAAUUAAACCACUUUUUUUUUAUAAA